rfam:Plesiocystis pacifica SIR-1 1103186006206, whole genome shotgun sequence.
GCGGGUUUAGCUCAGUCGGUUAGAGCGCCUGGUUGUGGUCCAGGAGGUCGUGGGUUCGAAUCCCAUAAUCCGCC